rnacentral:misc_RNA from 1 species
AAGGGGUGGAUGAUAGCUUACAGGUAAAAAGUUUUUCUAGAUAUGGGAGCUGGUUGCAAUAUCAAAGUGUUAGCAUCUAAAAGAAUUCCAAGUCAUUUAUUUUAUUUAAAGUUUUUGCUGUGUUCUUUUGUUCCUUUCCUCAAAGUUUCCUUUCUUUGCUAUUCUUGAAAAUUCUAAUACUAUUCAAGUUCUAUAGAAUAAGUAGCAUAAAAGUGUGAAUUAGAUUCAUGUUAGAACCUCUUCUUAAUGGUGUGUUCAUUUAUUUAGGUCUUCAUUAAGUCAAUUUGGUACAAACAUGAGCAGUGCCAAAAAAAA